CUGACAACAGCUGAACACACCUGGAUUAAACCCCACCCACAAGCACCUUUCUAGGAACUCACACCUGUCACCUGGUCUCUGAAUACAGGAAGAGACACAGACUGACUAGCGACCGAAGCUCUGAGCACCUGGAAAGGAAUAAGUGGGACAGGGCAUGACAUCUACCAUCUCUACCAUCAGCCUCGUCUCCGAGAGGCACUUCCUGUGCCCGCUGUGUAAGGACAUCUUCAGCAGUCCCGUGACUACUCCGUGUGGCCACAGUUUCUGUCAGGACUGCCUGUGUGGGUACUGGACCCGGCACCGUUCAGACUACUGUCCCCUCUGCAAGAGAUUGUUCCAUUCCAGGCCAGACCUUAGUGUCAACCGCAUCCUGGCUGACGUCUGUGAAAACUACAGGAAGACACGGCCUGAGAGCCCUGAGGAGAGCCACGACACGCCGCAGGUUGUAGACAUUGACCAGAUGAUCCAGGAGCGAUUGAAGAAAGUUGAUAGACUCAGACACUCCCUGCAGCUCCUCAAAAACUCGUGUGUGAGGGAGGUGCGUGAGAGCCAGAAGGUGUUCUCUGCCCUUGUCAGUUCCAUGGAGAAGAGCCACAAGGCCGUGGUGGCAGCCAUUGAGGAGAGACAGGGGGAGGAGGAGAGGAUUGUUGAGAAGCUGGUGAAGGAGCUGGAACAGGAGAUUCUACAGCUGAGGAAUGGAGACACUGACCUGGGGCCUUGUCAUUCUCAGCAGAGCCAUGAUGAGCUCUGUGGGGGUGGUGGUCAGAAGAGUGUUGCAGUGAGCACCACUUCCACCACGGGCUACUCUGAGAGGAGGGACUGGUCCAAGGUUUCCAUGGAGACGGACCCCUGUAUGGGCGUGACCAGGAGAGCAGUGUCAGACCUGAUGGACGUGCUUAAAGGAGAGCUCUGUAGACUCUCUAAAGCUGAGCUGAAGAAAAUACAGAAAUACACAGUAGACAUCUCCCUGAGUCCCAAGACGGCCCACGCCUUCCUCUCGGUCUCAGACGACCGGAAACAGGUGCGACACACAGACAAACGCCAGGAGGUCCCAGACAACCCCAAGAGGUUUGACCGCGUGGCCAACGUCCUGGGAAGAGAGUCCUUCAGCAGCGGCAGGUACUGUAAUGUCCCUCUUUAUACUGUUUGCCUAUAUAAUAUAAUUCUAUAUUUAUAUAUCUAUAUUAUCAUAAAGAUCUAUGAUCAUAUAUGUAUGGUUCUUAGAACAGAUGUCAGACCGUCUGAUAUAGUUUGUUUGUUGAACUUUACUGAAACUAUUCAUGGAAACUAUUCACUCAUGUCUCUUUACCUUAACUAGUGCUGUAGUAAAACAUGGACUGGAUUUCAAUACUAAGUUCAUCAGUUAUAAUGAUUAAAACCUGGACUGGACUUUAAUACAAAGUUCAUCAGUUAUAAUGAUGAAAACCUGGACUGGACUUUCAUACAAAGUUCAUCAGUUAUAAUGAUGAAAACAUGGACUGGACUUUAAUACUAAGUUCAUCAGUUAUAAUGAUGAAAACCUGGACUGGACUUUAAUACAAAGUUCAUCAGUUAUAAUGAUGAAAACAUGGACUGGACUUUCAUACUAAGUUCAUCAGUUGUAAUGACAAACAUUGACUCCAUUCCAGGUACUACUGGACUAAUGUUGACUCCAUUCCAGGUACUAAUGUUGACUCCAUUCCAGGUACUACUGGACUAAUGUUGACUCCAUUCCAGAUACUAAUGUUGACUCCAUUCCAGGUACUAAUGUUGACUCCAUUCCAGGUACUAAUGUUGACUCCAUUCCAGGUACUAAUGUUGACUCCAUUCCAGGUACUACUGGACUAAUGUUGACUCCAUUCCAGAUACUAAUGUUGACUCCAUUCCAGAUACUAAUGUUGACUCCAUUCCAGGUACUAAUGUUGACUCCAUUCCAGGUACUAAUGUUGACUCCAUUCCAGGUACUAAUGUUGACUCCAUUCCAGAUACUAAUGUUGACUCCAUUCAAGAUACUAAUGUUGACUCCAUUCCAGGUACUACUGGACUAAUGUUGACUCCAUUCCAGGUACUAAUGUUGACUCCAUUCCAGGUACUAAUGUUGACUACAUUCCAGGUACUACUGGACUAAUGUUGACUCCAUUCCAGAUACUAAUGUUGACUCCAUUCCAGAUACUAAUGUUGACUCCAUUCCAGAUACUAAUGUUGACUCCAUUCCAGAUACUACUGGACUAAUGUUGACUCCAUUCCAGGUACUAAUGUUGACUCCAUUACAGAUACUAAUGUUGACUCCAUUCCAGAUACUAAUGUUGACUCCAUUCCAGAUACUAAUGUUGACUCCAUUCCAGGUACUAAUGUUGACUCCAUUCCAGGUACUACUGGACUAAUGUUGACUCCAUUCCAGGUACUACUGGACUAAUGUUGACUCCAUUCCAGAUACUAAUGUUGACUCCAUUCCAGAUACUAAUGUUGACUCCAUUCCAGGUACUAAUGUUGACUCCAUUCCAGGUACUAAUGUUGACUCCAUUCCAGAUACUAAUGUUGACUCCAUUCCAGGUACUACUGGACUAAUGUUGACUCCAUUCCAGGUACUAAUGUUGACUCCAUUCCAGGUACUACUGGACUAAUGUUGACUCCAUUCCAGAUACUAAUGUUGACUCCAUUCCAGAUACUAAUGUUGACUCCAUUCCAGGUACUAAUGUUGACUCCAUUCCAGGUACUAAUGUUGACUCCAUUCCAGGUACUAAUGUUGACUCCAUUCCAGGUACUACUGGACUAAUGUUGACUCCAUUCCAGAUACUAAUGUUGACUCCAUUCCAGGUACUAAUGUUGACUCCAUUCCAGGUACUACUGGACUAAUGUUGACUCCAUUCCAGAUACUAAUGUUGACUCCAUUCCAGGUACUAAUGUUGACUCCAUUCCAGAUACUAAUGUUGACUCCAUUCCAGGUACUAAUGUUGACUCCAUUCCAGGUACUAAUGUUGACUCCAUUCCAGGUACUAAUGUUGACUCCAUUCCAGGUACUACUAGACUAAUGUUGACUCCAUUCCAGGUACUAAUGUUGACUCCAUUCCAGGUACUAAUGUUGACUCCAUUCCAGGUACUACUGGACUAAUGUUGACUCCAUUCCAGAUACUAAUGUUGACUCCAUUCGAGAUACUAAUGUUGACUCCAUUCCAGAUACUAAUGUUGACUCCAUUCCAGGUACUAAUGUUGACUCCAUUCCAGAUACUAAUGUUGACUCCAUUCCAGGUACUAAUGUUGACUCCAUUCCAGGUACUAAUGUUGACUCCAUUCCAGGUACUAAUGUUGACUCCAUUCCAGGUACUAAUGUUGACUCCAUUCCAGAUACUAAUGUUGACUCCAUUCCAGGUACUAAUGUUGACUCCAUUCCAGGUACUAAUGUUGACUCCAUUCCAGGUACUAAUGUUGACUCCAUUCCAGGUACUAAUGUUGACUCCAUUCCAGGUACUAAUGUUGACUCCAUUCCAGGUACUAAUGUUGACUCCAUUCCAGAUACUAAUGUUGACUCCAUUCCAGAUACUAAUGUUGACUCCAUUCCAGAUACUAAUGUUGACUCCAUUCCAGGUACUACUGGGAGGUGGAGGUGGGAGAGAAGAUAGAGUGGAACCUGGGCGUGGCCAGACAGUCCAUCAACAGGAAGGGGAAGUUUACAGUCAGCCCAGCCAAUGGCUUCUGGACACUGAGCCUAAAGAGUGGGGGUCAAUACGUAGCUAACACCUCCCCCACUGUCACCCCCGUGGGCCUGGAGCAGAAGCCCAGGAAGGUGGGGGUGUUUCUGGACUACGUGGAGGGCCGAGUGUCCUUCUACUGCGCGGAGACUGGGGUUCACAUCCAUACGUUUACAGAUGGCUUCACUGAUAGACUACAUCCACUCUUUAGUCCUGGGAGGCAACAUGGGGGCAGGAAUAUCGCUCCUCUGACUAUUAGUACUAGCUUCUGUAGCAUCUGAGCCCCCUGACUUAACCCCCACGCCUGGAAUAGUAAUUUAUUCAUGUCAUUAUGUAGCCUAAUGUGGAAUAAGGCUCACUCGGUCCCUCUCACGUCUGCAUUUUCAGUUGGAUAAACCGACUUCUUUCCUAAUAUUGAGUUUAUGCAGUGUCUGUGUUAUCAGGCAAUGAGCUGGGUAAUCAAUAGUAAUGCUAUAAUUUAUUUUAAUUAUAAUUUAUGACAGUAUAUAUGAACCCUCAAAUGUAUAUUUUUUUACAAAGUGUUGACUUUAAAAAAAUUCUGUGCAUCAUUAAAAAAUCUGUAAAUUA